rnacentral:rRNA from 1 species
GAUCCUGGCUCAGGAUGAACGCUAGCUACAGGCUUAACACAUGCAAGUCGAGGGGCAGCAUGGUCUUAGCUUGCUAAGGCCGAUGGCGACCGGCGCACGGGUAAGUAACGCGUAUCCAGCCUGCCUUACACUCUUGGACAGCCUUCUGAAAGGGAGAUUAAUACAAGAUGUUAUCAUGAGUAAGCAUUUUCGCAUGAUUAAAGGUUUACCGGUGUAAGAUGGGGAUGCGUU